rnacentral:rRNA from 3 species
AUAUGAAGGCGGGCUGGAACCUCUCGGGGUUACAGCCUUGCUGAAUUAUUCACCCUUGUCUUUUGCGUACUUCUUGUUUCCUUGGUGGGUUCGCCCACCACUAGGACAAACAUAAACCUUUUGUAAUUGCAAUCAGCGUCAGUAACAAAUUAAUAAUUACAACUUUCAACAACGGAUCUCUUGGUUCUGGCAUCGAUGAAGAACGCAGCGAAAUGCGAUAAGUAGUGUGAAUUGCAGAAUUCAGUGAAUCAUCGAAUCUUUGAACGCACAUUGCGCCCUUUGGUAUUCCAAAGGGCAUGCCUGUUCGAGCGUCAUUUGUACCCUCAAGCUUUGCUUGGUGUUGGGCGUCUUGUCUCUAGCUUUGCUGGAGACUCGCCUUAAAGUAAUUGGCAGCCGGCCUACUGGUUUCGGAGCGCAGCACAAGUCGCACUCUCUAUCAGCAAAGGUCUAGCAUCCAUUAAGCCUUUUUUUCAACUUUUGACCUCGGAUCAGGUAGGGAUACCCGCUGAACUUAAGCAUA